GUUCCUUCCCGGGUGUUCUUCACUGCAGUCAGCUCCUCGGAGCGUUUGGUAAGGCCCUCGGUCUUACAUUUUGGAGGCCCCAGCGAGAUUCCCAGGUAAGGAACCCCGGUUCAGCCGAGACUCUGUGGAGGGAUCCAGCAGGAGACUCUCAGGCACAGACCUCAGAAAACCUCCGGAGGUUUGAUUCCAAGACCCUGGAACCUCGUUGGAAGGGACCGGUUCCUGUUGUCCUGUCAACUCCCUUGACAGUGAAGGUGGCUGGACAUUCUGCCUGGAUACAUCACAACCAUCUGAAAGCAGGACCCCCUGUGGAUGUCAAAAAGGACUAAUGGAAGGUUAUCAGCCAACCAGGCAACCAAAAGCUAAGAUUGGAGUGGGAUGGAGAUGUUUCGCCUUCAUGAUAAUAUUCUCUGGGACACUGGCAGUAUUGCCCCCAAAAGGACUAGAUCACACAAAAAAUGUAUGGAUUCAAUUGACAAACUCACUUAAUUUGUCUGAAUUCUGUCUAAAUGUUGAUGUAAAUUUCCAUCAUGUAUUGGGGACAUGCCUCAUGUCAUAAACCUAAGAAUGCUGUCAAAUUAUAUACACCCAGGGUAAUUAUGUCAAAUAAUACCCAAUGUGCUAUGUAUGAAAAUUGUACAACCAAAUGUCUGAGGAUAAAAUGGUCGGAAGGGAUGCCCUGCUAUAUAAAACAAAAAAUUGUGUAUAAUGAUUGCCAUAUCUCCCUACCAAUAGGAUGGUUUUAUACCUGUAAAGGAAUAACUUUCAAUUAUAUCCCAGCCAAUUUAA